UACGUAGGGUGCAAGCGUUGUCCGGAAUUACUGGGCGUAAAGAGCUCGUAGGCGGUUUGUCGCGUUGUUCGUGAAAACUCACAGCUUAACUGUGGGCGUGCGGGCGAUACGGGCAGACUUGAGUACUGCAGGGGAGACUGGAAUUCCUGGUGUAGCGGUGGAAUGCGCAGAUAUCAGGAGGAACACCGGUGGCGAAGGCGGGUCUCUGGGCAGUAACUGACGCUGAGGAGCGAAAGCGUGGGGAGCGAACAGG
rnacentral:rRNA from 1 species